rnacentral:lncRNA from 1 species
UGAAAUGUUGCGUUUUCUUCGUUAUAUAGUGUGAGCGGUUAUAAUCGUUCGUGGGAGAAGACGUGUGUUGUGCGGGUGAUCAUUUGAUCUAAUCAAAACAUGAUUGACGCAUAUGGAAGGUGAAAUCAUAUGCCUUGGUUGAAUGAGGGGCCACACUAUUCCACUCUCUUUCACUUGAUGCCGCUUUUGGGCCUUUCGCU